rnacentral:rRNA from 1 species
GACGAACGCUGGCGGCGUGCUUAACACAUGCAAGUCGAACGGUAAGGCCCUUCGGGGUACACGAGUGGCGAACGGGUGAGUAACACGUGGGUAAUCUGUCCUGCACUUCGGGAUAAGCCCGGGAAACUGGGUCUAAUACCGGAUAUUCAGUUCCUGCCGCAUGGUGGGGGUUGGAAAGUUUUUCGGUGCAGGAUGAGCCCGCGGCCUAUCAGCUUGUUGGUGGGGUAAUGGCCUACCAAGGCGACGACGGGUAGCCGGCCUGAGAGGGUGAUCGGCCACACUGGGACUGAGACACGGCCCAGACUCCUACGGGAGGCAGCAGUGGGGAAUAUUGCACAAUGGGCGAAAGCCUGAUGCAGCGACGCCGCGUGGGGGAUGACGGUCUUCGGAUUGUAAACCCCUUUCAGUAGGGACGAAGCGCAAGUGACGGUACCUGCAGAAGAAGCACCGGCCAACUACGUGCCAGCAGCCGCCGUAACAC